GUUCUGUUGUUUAUGACUUGAUGUUUCGUUCCCUGCUGUUCACACAAUAUAGUUGAGAUAUCUGCAUAACAUUUUGCCGAUUUACUAUCGCUCAACUAAUCAAUGAUCUUAUAAUUAAAUAAAUGAUGAUCUUAUAAUUAAAUAAAUGCAACCUAUCAGUAAAUACAGUACACAGGACGAAAAACAAAUUAGUGCUUUUCUAUUCUUGUUUUCAACACUCAUUUCCUGGACCAUCUUGUUCUGUUAUUGUUGCUGAAAGUAGGAGUUCAUUAUCACAGAGCAAAUUUAUGAUAUGUAUUCGUCUCUAAUUAAAUUUAAUCUCUUACUUGAAAUAUAUAUAUGCCAUUUUCAAUCUAAUCUGAAUUAUUUCCUAUAAUUCAAAAUUUCCAAACAACUUUUUAACCUUCUUUCUCCUUUAAGAGCAAUAAUUGUUGUCCUCAACAAGUCAAAUCUUAUUAUUUUCCUGAAAAGUACCAUUGCCUCACUGUAUCUUUGGCCUGAUUUUCUAGACAUUCUAUCAGCUAACCUUUUUGAAAAAAGUAUUUGCUUCUCUUCCCAUUCCACCUGUUCUUGAUUUAAAGGACUAUUGGUGUAAAUGUUCCAUAUUCUACUUCAACAAUAUUUUUGUUGUCCAUGUUUUUCUUCUGUCUCUCAUGGCUAGUGUACAUACUCAUCAGAAAUCCAAGAGCUUUAUUGGAAGGAGCUUGAGCAUGAAAUACUCUUAUAUCUAAAAAUGCCCUUUCCAAUGGGUUUCAUACACUCCUAGCACUAACAUCUAAUCUAGCUCCAUCUGCUUUGUUGGCCCCUGCGGCCUGCAGGAAGUUCUCUCCCAUUGACAGGAAUAAGGAGAGGUUCAGUAGUAACAUCUUUACAGCCAGCAGUUUCUGAGAGCUCUGCUAACACAUCUCUCAAUGAAUUGUGGCGAAGAGAUACAUAUCCACCCCUUUUGCACAUUAGUGAGUGGUUUAUUGAGUUGUCACUUCCACAUACACAUUUUCUUGCAGCAUCUUUUAUUCCAAAGUUGUACCUAAGGGCUAGGGCGUCAUUGAAUUCUUGCUUGUUGAGACAGAAUCCAAAUGAUUUGAUUUAUUCACUAUAAUUCUGAAUUAUAUAUUUUGAUCUAAUCAUCACCCCAAGAAGCUGACAUGUUUAUGGAUCCAGAAUUUGCUAAAAAAGCUCUCCGAGAUCAUCCCAAAAUUAUUCUAUGUUCUAAAUUAAAGAUGCCCUUAAAUGAAGCCUGGAUUCUGGAACGAAAUGAAUGAAGUAGCACGAAAUGAAUGAAGAAGAACUAUUUAGGCUUUCAGAAUAAACAAAACAUGUUAGCGAAGAUUGACUAUGCCAAAAUGAAGCACGAAUCCAGCGUGUGGAAAACUCUCGCCGAAACUAAAGGAACUUUGAAGGAACAGUUAUCCCAUGCCUGAUUUCACGAAUUCGACUGAGAAAGUUGAAAUAGAACUGAAGCAUACGGUAUGAAGCAUGGGAGAGGUCAGCAUCUCACCGCCCUCCAGUGAUUGGGACCAAUGGAUGGGGCUCACUGAUGACCCACAAAUUGUUGUAGACUCUCCUAAACUCUCCAGACGCUGAAGCCUUCUUUGCGGGGAAGAACAUUAGCAGGGAGUCGUCUCCAUUCACGAGGAGCAAUACCCUUUGGUGGCCUGCAAUACCCUUUUCGAAUCUAUUGCUAGUGACAGAGAGAUCAAAAUAGCGAAACACAGGACAGAUACAAUGAGUGCCUCAAGACGGAAGCGCUAGCAGACAAGGAAAGGUGAUCAGGCUGCAGGACCAGCUGCUGGUGCAGAAGGACGAACAACUACAGUUGAAUAGACAGUACAAACAGCGGUGGAGUCAGGGAUUAAGAGCUACAGUGCAGCUGUUCAACAGAACAGUGCAAGUGGUACGGUCUGCUACAGUAAAAUCCUGAAGAAGGUGAUGAAGAGUGUGGCUGCAGAGGAGGACAGGAGCAAGAAUCUGAUAGUGUUUGGACUGAAAGAAGAGGAUGAAGAACAGCUACCAGCUCUUGUAAACGCAGUAUUGGACGAGAUCGGGGAGAAACCUCAUUUCGAAGCGACAAGAGUCGGCUGGAAGAGGCCAGGUACGGCCAUCCUACCAGCCAAGAUCACUGUCCCAAGCUCAACAGCAGUUCAUCAGAUUCUGAUGAAAACAGGGAGACUGAGGCUGGCUGAGGCACACAAAGAUGUAUGGAUUUGUAUAUCCAGUGAAGAGCGUGCAGCAAGGAAGAACCUGGUAACUGACCUGAAGAAGAAGAGAGCUGAACAAACUCAUCUCGACCACUACAUCUGGUACGGGAAGGUCUGUAGCCGGGUAAAGAAGCCACCAUGACGUAAUUCAUGUCUAUCGGACACCGAUCAGUAUAUUAUGUAGGAGUAUCUUAAGAGUUUACGGACGUUAUCUGUAUUUGAGAGACAAUUAUAUUAUAUGCAUACAUUAUUAUUUGAUUGUUUCACACUUUUCACAUUUCAUCAAUUUAUUACUAGGUGGUAGUGAUGUUAUUGAGACUUUGGGCGGCCAAAAACUCCUGUUCUGCAAGUUGUCCUCUGUACUUUUCGCUGACCCACGCUUUUUAGCAUUUAUACAUUUCGGCCUAGUGUGCACGAAAAUUUAUUUCAAUCAAUCAAUGUUUGUUCGAUUAACUGU